UAAAAAUAACAGAUUUACCAUUACCUUUAUCAUCAGUCCUGGCUCCCUCCAUCAUUGAGUACACAAUGCCACUGUUUUGGCUAAAACAUAGUAGACUAGGAUGCGUAAGUUAGAAUGAAUGCCGUGCGAUGCAUCAUUCUGAUGCCAUGAUUUCGUCGCCAAGGUCUGCGUAAGUGUCAUCAAUUGAGGAGACACCGCUGCAAGUACACGAAACAUUCAGCAGGAGAAAGGUUCGUGCUACCACACCUUGGGAUUACCGUAUGUUCCCUAAACGUGUACAAACAGUCAAUCUAAAAAAUAUGAAAUGGAUCGAGUGUAGUUUUUCCCAUGUACUAUCCUCCUUUUUAGUACGCCUAAUUACCUCCUACCACUGGUUAUUUGCCUGGACACCUAUGAAAAACUCAAGUAAUCCUUACUACUCCCUCUGUUCCAAAUUGCAGGUCGUUUUGACUUUUUUAGAUUCAUAGAUAUUAUUAUACACCUAGAUACAGUGUAUGUCUAAUAAUAUCUAUGAAUUAAAAAAAGCUAAAACGACCUACAAUUUAGAACGGAGGGAGUUCUUUAAGCUUAGGCUAAUUCUUAUGAUCGGAACAAAUCGCCCUAGAACCAGUCAGUCUUAGAGCUCAGGACAGUGGUCCUUCGGAGUGGAAAAAGCAAAGCAUUAAGAACGUCACUGAAGAAACUACAUAUAACUAACCACAUGGAAUGCAUGGACAUACCAUGAUAGCCCAAAAAGUUUUCUUGCUGUAGUGAUUGUGAACCAAGGCUCCUCACAGCGGGUUGCUAUG
rnacentral:lncRNA from 1 species